AGUGAACGCUGGCGGUAGGCCUAACACAUGCAAGUCGAACGGCAGCACAGUAAGAGCUUGCUCUUACGGGUGGCGAGUGGCGGACGGGUGAGGAAUACAUCGGAAUCUACUUUUUCGUGGGGGAUAACGUAGGGAAACUUACGCUAAUACCGCAUACGACCUACGGGUGAAAGCAGGGGUUCUUCGGACCUUGCGCGAUUGAAUGGGCCGAUGUCGGAUUAGCUAGUUGGCGGGGUAAAGGCCCACCAAGGCGACGAUCCGUAGCUGGUCUGAGAGGAUGAUCAGCCACACUGGAACUGAGACACGGUCCAGACUCCUACGGGAGGCAGCAGUGGGGAAUAUUGGACAAUGGGCGCAAGCCUGAUCCAGCCAUACCGCGUGGGUGAAGAAGGCCUUCGGGUUGUAAAGCCCUUUUGUUGGGAAAGAAAAGCAGCAGGUUAAUACCCCGCUGUUCUGACGGUACCCAAAGAAUAAGCACCGGCUAACUUCGUG
rnacentral:rRNA from 1 species